rnacentral:rRNA from 1 species
AUUGAACGCUGGCGGCAGGCCUAACACAUGCAAGUCGAGCGAGCGGCGGACGGGUGAGUAAUGUAUGGGGACUGCCCGAUCGAGGGGGAUAACUACUGGAAACGGUGGCUAAUACCGCAUACUAUCGGAUAACCCAUAUGGGAUUAGCGAGUAGGUGGGGUAAAGGCUCACCUAGGCGACGAUCUCUCGCUGGUCUGAGAGGCUGAUGGGCCACACGGGGACUGAGACACGGCCCAGACCCCUACGGGGGCAGAAGUGGGGAUUAUUGCCCAAUGGGCGAAAGCUUGCGGCAGCCAGGCCGCGUGUAUGAAGAAGGCCUUAGGGUUGUAAAGUACUUUCAGCGGGGAGGCGUUACCCGCAGAAGAAGCACCGGCUAACUCCGUGCCAGCAGCCGCGGUAAUUC